rnacentral:misc_RNA from 1 species
GAUGAAGAACGUAGCGAAAUGCGAUAAGUAAUGUGAAUUGCAGAAUUCAGUGAAUCAUCGAAUCUUUGAACGCACAUUGCGCCCGCCAGUAUUCUGGCGGGCAUGCCUGUUCGAGCGUCAUUUCAACCCUCAGGCCCCCAGUGCCUGGCGUUGGGGAUCGGCGCGGCGCCCUCCGGGGCGCUGCCGGUCCCGAAAUUCAGUGGCGGUCUCGCUGUAGCCCUCCUCCGCGUAGUAGCACAACCUCGCGGCCUGGAGCUCGGCGGUGGCCAUGCCGUAAAACACCCCACUUCUGAAAGUUGACCUCGGAUCAGGUAGGAAUACCCGCUGAACUUAAGCAUAUCAAUAAGCGGAGGA